UUGGGGAGAAAAUAAAUGCUAGUGUUACCGGGCGAACGAGACAUGAGACUUGCGGAUCCAUUUGAAAAGCUUUAAUAGGAGACAGAGACGUGGUCCAUAAAACAGGCAUGGGUCAGACAAUGGCAAACAGGUAU